UCAUGGAUCAAUUGAGAAUUUUGAAAGAGAACUUGAACAAGAUCGAGUUCGAUGUACACGAAGAAGACGACGACGAAAAAGAAGAAGAAGAAGAUCUCCGAAGAUACCAUUCCCCCAAUGGCGUCGGUGAUAUUUCGGACCCUGAUUCGAAGAACUUUUAGUGGUUUUAGGUCCAAUUCGAGGUAUCCGAUCUCUAAUGGAAUCGAAUCACCUGCUCAUCAUUAGAUUGAGAGGUAUAAAGCAGAGAUUUAAGAAGCUUCAGGAAUCAGAAGCAGAUAAGGAGUGAAUGUUGCAUGGAGGAACUCGAGUCUCUGAGGUUAGAAAAGAACAAAACCUCAAUGGAAAAUAGCAAAGUGCGUUGUGAAUUGGAUUCAAAAUUACUUGAAAUCAAACACUAGCAUAUGAAGUAGGUGCAUUCCUGAAGUUGAAAACUGAACUUGAUCUACUUAUUCCCGGACCGGACGCCACAGAGGCUCUGACUAGGCAUCCUAGUGUGGACAAGGAGAAGCCUGAAAUCUUACUUGGAAAAAGGUGAAAUGGAGCAAUCCUUGCAAAGGUUUGGAAACAGAUUUGAAGGAAACACGACAAGAAAGGGAUAUAAGGCACGGCAAGAACUGAAAAAGCUCAAACAGCAAUUGCUAGAAAAGGACACUGAGGAGUCUGAGAAAAUGGAUGAAGAUAGCCGACUGAUUGAACAACUCCGCCAAACUAAUGAGUAUCAAAGGUCUCAGAUAUCACAGUUGGAUAAAACUCUCAAGCAGGCCAUGGCAAAUCAAGAGGAUAACAGGUUGAGCAACGACAACCAAAUCCGAAAGUUAAAGGAAACAUUUGGGGACUUAAAUCACAAACUUACAAAUUGUUUGAGAACAAUCGAGUCCAAGAAUGUGGAACUUUUAAAUCUUCAAACUGCCCUUGGCCAGUACCACGCUGAAAUCGAAGCUAAGGUUUGGUA